CUACGGAACUCCUACGGGAGGCAGCAGUGGGGAAUUUUGGACAAUGGGGGCAACCCUGAUCCAGCAAUGCCGCGUGAGUGAAGAAGGCCUUCGGGUUGUAAAGCUCUUUUGUCCGGGAAGAAAUCCUUCUGGCUAAUAUCCGGAGGGGAUGACGGUACUGGAAGAAUAAGCACCGGCUAACUACGUGCCAGCAGCCGCGGUAAUACGUAGGGUGCAAGCGUUAAUCGGAAUUACUGGGCGUAAAGCGUGCGCAGGCGGUUGUGUAAGUCAGAUGUGAAAUCCCCGGGCUCGACCUGGGAAUUGCAUUUGAGACUGCACGGCUAGAGUGUGUCAGAGGGGGGUAGAAUUCCACGUGUAGCAGUGAAAUGCGUAGAUAUGUGGAGGAAUACCGAUGGCGAAGGCAGCCCCCUGGGAUAACACUGACGCUCAUGCACGAAAGCGUGGGGAGCAAACAGGAUUAGAAACCCCGGUAGUCCUCUUCGA
rnacentral:rRNA from 1 species